rnacentral:rRNA from 11 species
UUGUGCAAGCUUAAAUGCCCUUAUCAGCACCAAAUCCUGUCUGAUCUUGGAAGCUGAGCAGAGUAAAGUUGGCUUGGCAUUUGGAUGGCAGACACCAACAAAUAGCUGAUGCUGCAGGCU